GACCAAGUAAGAUAUCAAAAAUUAAUUAUAACUAACUUGUUUAUCUAAUUUGUCCAAUUCACAAUAUUUUUGCUCCUUGUUUGAUUGAUCCAAUAAUCAGCAAAUCUUUUUAUUAUUAUUAUUUUUACAUAUUACAAAUAUGUAUUGUUCAAAUAUUUGUUUGAAUUCUUAUACAUUAUUCAAUUAUCAAUAUAUGAUUAUCACUUUUCUUUUUCAUAAUUUGCAUCAUCAGUAAGUACAUACCUACUGAAUAUAUAUUCUGAGAUAUAGAAGAGCUUGGAAGGAGGUGAUGGUCGUCAUGCUGCUUGCAAGGGCAAAUUAAUCUUUUCAUGUAUUCUUUUUAGAUUGUUCACACCGCUGCCACCGCCUCUUCUCAAAACCACUACUGCACUAUCACCUUCUUGUUGUUGCUUCUUCAUUUUUUUUCUUCAAUUUCAGCUUGGGUUUUCUCUUACAACAUCACACAAAUUUGAGGUUCACAGAAUUGCCAAAGCAAGUGGAUGAUGGGAAAGGGUUGGCUGGUACGGUGGCGGAUGUAAAUGAUGCUAACAAAAGAGGUCCAUUAAUUUUUACCGCUAGGGAAGGCAAGACUGACUUGUGCAACUACUUGGUGGAAGAGCUGAAGAGUAGUGUCAAUGAAAAAGAUGAGUUGAGUCUCUAAGAGAUGGUUGCUUCUGAAAAAGAUGAAACGUCAUUGUUGUCACCAUCUUAUCCUCUGUCUAAUGAAAAUGAUGCCUUUCAAAAUCGGCAUUUUGUGUACAGGACAAGGAGUGCAUCCUUGCUCGCAAUCCUGAGAAUAGCUUUCGGCCCACUCCAGCUACAGUAGUGCAUGAUCCAACUUUACCGAUAACGAAAAAAUAUCCUUCAAUUAGAAGUGCAGAAAGAAAUGAUUGGCGUAAUAAUGACUACACUGGAAAAAAUGAACAUCUUCUGGAGUCUGGACAACUAGGCAUAUGCAAUGAUCCAUACUGCACAACAUGUCUAACCUACUGCUACCUGAAAGCACGGCAAAAAAUUUCAAUGUCUUCAGAUAUAUUUGAUCAUAAGAUUACACAAUCAAAUUUGUUGUGAAACUCGAAACUGCUUCACGGUUGAGGGCUUCUCAGUUCAUUUUCCCUCAAAGAUCAUGGCUUGGUAUUUUACUAGCACUUUGUCAUUGCUUACUUCAAUUACCUUGCUCCUACGCCGUAUCAAUUCGCUAGCUGCAUAGAACAUUCAUCAUUUCUUCAAGUUCUAAGUAUUACAAUUAGUGGACUUAUGUAUUUGUUCAUCUUUGUGCAGAUUUGAGAUUUUUCUGUAGUAUGACAGGUUUUGCUUUGCAGAUUUGAAUGUUUUAGACAAAAUGAAUUGUGUCUCUAAAGUAAAUUUUGUACAACAAAAAUCUUUGUCCAAUGAUUUUUAAAAUUGAUAGUGUCUGUUGCAAGGAUAAAUGGACUAUAUUAGAGUGUUUAUGAUUUCAUUUGUGGUUCUUAUUAAUCAUUUUUCGACUUUGGAGAGAAUGAGUCACAAUUUUAGAGACGACAUACAUCAACUCCCUGAAUUUCACAAGCUUGGCGUGGCAUGUAUGUUUUGGAGUGAUUGAUGAUCUUUUCAUUUAAUGGCAAAGAUAAUGAUGUCUCCAAAUUACAACUUUAAGAAACAGAGGAAUACCGUUUUGAUUUGUUGCUUUGCCCACCCUUAACCUUAUGCAACUCCUCUGUGGUAACCAACAGAGGCCACCCAAGACAAGCAAAUACACCAAUGUCCUCCAGAUUUACACCAAAGACUGGCAACCAUUUCAUUCUUACACUUGAUUUUGUUUAUAUAUAUUAUCGUGAUUCAACUUCGUCUCAACCAGGACGAAGCAUGCCACAAAAGUCGCAACAAACAAGUCCAAGGGAGCUAAAUAGAGGGCAUGUUUGCGCGAAUUCAUUUCAACAUGAUAUGUUAGGGGAAUAGCCCGAAGGUGGGAAUUCAGGGCAAGAAGUUGAACUCUGAAGCUACCGAAAAGCUCAAAGGGCUCGAACUUUGCCGCCAUAGUUCCGAGUAUUGGGAGCUGGGAGAUAAUAUUGAUGUUUUAGCAGUGUGUGUAAUUUGUAAUUUACAAACUGUAGUUUAAAAGAGCUACAAUUGAUCAGAAUUGUGUUAUUUUGGUGCGUUUUAAUAUAUUUAUGCAAAUUGAGUUGA